rnacentral:lncRNA from 1 species
UAUAACUUCUCAGCAGCCUGAAAGGCCAGGAUUGAUUUGGAUUUCUUAGAUACUCGCACUGAAAUGUGGCGGUGCUGGGGAGAGCCAGCCCCAUUCCCUGGUCGCUCAUUUCCCAGCCUAUAAACUGCCACCUUCCCUUCUCAUCCCCAGCUCCAUCCUGUACCGUGCACACCUCACCUGCAUGUGUGUAGACAUCCCAGGCUGCAGGUCCAAUCUCCAUC